CGGCCACAGCCCAAAACUCAAAGGACUUGGCGGUGCUUUAUACCCUUCUAGAGGAGCCUGUUCUAUAAUCGAUAAACCCCGAUAAACCUCACCAAUCCUUGCUAAUACAGUCUAUAUACCGCCAUCUUCAGCAAACCCUAAAAAGGAAUAAAAGUAAGCACAACCAUAGCACAUAAAAACGUUAGGUCAAGGUGUAACCUAUGGAGUGGGAAGAAAUGGGCUACAUUUUCUAUCUUAAGAA
rnacentral:rRNA from 1 species